AACGAACGCUGGCGGCAUGCCUAACACAUGCAAGUCGAACGAAACCUUCGUGUCUAUUUGCGCUCGUGUGCUUAACGCGUGGUAACCUGCCCGUAAGUUCGGAAUCACUCCCCGUAGGGGGUGCUAAUACCGGAUAAUGUCUUCGGACCAAAGAUUUAUCGCCUUUGGAUGGGCCCUCGUUGGUUUCGCUGGUUGGUAGGGUAAUAGCCUAGCAAGGCCACGAUCCAUAGCUGGUCGGAGAGGAUGAUAAUCCACGAUGGGACUGAGACGCGGCCUAGAAUCGUAGGCGAGGCAGGAGUGGGGAAUAUUGGACAAUGAGGGAAGGCGUGAUCCCGCAAUGCGGGGUGAGUGAUGAAGGCGUUAGGGUUGUAAAGCCGUUUUACACGAGAUGAUAAUGACAGUAAUGGGAGAAUAAGCUCCGGCUAACUACGUG
rnacentral:rRNA from 1 species